CACACUCUCACAGGUAUUGGCCUACUUUUUUGGUCUUAGAUGGCUGGUCUCAGUUGUCCUCAUUAACAGAUGAACAAUGGCCCAUUGCUUUUUCAUUUGCAUCUGUGGCGAACACAGUUAAUGAGACAUAUUAGCACCCAUGUCUCUGCAUGGAAAUGAUUCACUAUGCCAUUAAUUCCGCUGCCUGCCGUGACCUAAAAACAUGGAAAUAUAGGUAUAUUUUAUUUCAGUUUGAAAAGAAAAAUAUAGGCUAAUAUACAGCUAUAAAAAUGGUUCUGCUUCCUAAAUCACUCAGGAAUCGUGUCUGUAUUUAUUAUGGGUAGGAAAUGAAAUGAAAUUAGUUCCAAACUGCAAAUUUUGUGCAAGGCAAUUCAAGUAAGAAGGCACAUAAACAAACAAACAAAAAAAUUAAAACAGCAAACUUUUUCUGAGAAAACAAUAAUGCCUUCUGUAAGUAUUCACCCACUUGAACUUUUCCACAUACUGUAGUGUUACAACCUGGGACUGGUAUGGAUGUCAGUGGGAUUAUUGAUCAUGAAUCUACACAAAACAGCCCAUAGUAGUGGAGUGAGGGGAAAAUAUCACAAGCAAGAUUUUAAGGCUAGUUUCACUACACAAGCAAGAUUAUUAGCCAAAUAUCUCUACAAAAGUAAAACUAUUAGGCUAAUCUCACUACACUAGCAAAACUGUUAGGCUAAUCUCACUACACUAGAAAAACUGUUAGGCUAAUCUAACUACACUAGAAAAACUGUUAGGCUAAUCUAACUACACUAGAAAAACUGUUAGGCUAAUCUCACUACUAUACACUAGCAAAACUCUUAGGCUAAUUUCAGUACACUAGCAAAACUGUUAGGCUAAUCCCAUUAAACUACCAUGACAUUUAGGCUAAUCUCAUUACACUAGAAAAACUGCAAGGCUAAUCUCACUACACUAGCAAAACUGUUAGGCUAAUCUCACUACUGUACUCUAGCAAACUGUUAGGCUAAUCUCACUACUGUACUCUAGCAAAAACGGUUAGGCUAAUCUAACUACACUAGCAAAACUGUUAGGCUAAUUUCAGUACACUAAUAUGACUUUUAGGCUAAUCUCACUACACUAGCAAAUCUGUUAGGCUACUCUCACUUUUGUUAGGCUAAUCUCACUUCUGCUAUGCUAAUCUCAUUACACUAGCAAAUCUGUUAGGCUAAUCUAACUACACUAGCAAGAUUAUUAUGAUAACAUCACUACACUAGCAAGAUUAAUUACAUAUGGGUAAAACCUUGGGAGCUAAACUGAAAAAUAGGGGGGGAAGUAUUUAAUUUAGUAACCCCCUCAACCUCUUUGUAUUUGAGCUCACCAUCUCCCUUGAAACCUUAUUAAAAUUUGACUACUGCUGUAUGUGUACCACUGUGUUGUCUGUAUAUCCAGCAGAGUUGAAAGCAGGAGCUGUGAUGAUGUAAAUCUCUCUGCUUUUUCGCCCUUCAGUGUUGCAUCCACACACCUGUUCUAAUCUCAUAUUAUCCCGUGUGUGAAGAAAACACACUCAUUCUUCUCCAACAUAAACAUGUCAUGCUGUGGUCAGGUAGACUUGCAUGAAAACGUGAGGGCACACCUUUCCUGCUGUGAUUGUUCAGGAGCCAGCGUUUGUCCAACACAGCUGGAGAGCCGUUCUGCCUGAGCUCACAUCUGGAGCAGGACUUCAUCAUGCCAUUAUCACAACACUAAUUUGAGCUUGUUUGCUCCAUAAGUAUGUUUUUCUUUCUCUGGCAAGCAACAAUAGAUAGAUAAUAGAUAGAUGCCCCAGGGGCGCUGUAUCAUGGCUGACCCUGCGCUCUGACCCCAGCUUCCUGACAGGCUGGGGUAUGUGAAGAAAACAAUUUCACUGUGCUCUACUGUAUAUGUGACCAUUAAAG
ensembl:lncRNA